AGAUUCCUACGGGAGGCAGCAGUGGGGAAUAUUGCACAAUGGGCGGAAGCCUGAUGCAGCAACGCCGCGUGCGGGAUGACGGCCUUCGGGUUGUAAACCGCUUUCGCCUGUGACGAAGCGUGAGUGACGGUAAUGGGUAAAGAAGCACCGGCUAACUACGUGCCAGCAGCCGCGGUGAUACGUAGGGUGCGAGCGUUGUCCGGAUUUAUUGGGCGUAAAGGGCUCGUAGGUGGUUGAUCGCGUCGGAAGUGUAAUCUUGGGGCUUAACCCUGAGCGUGCUUUCGAUACGGGUUGACUUGAGGAAGGUAGGGGAGAAUGGAAUUCCUGGUGGAGCGGUGGAAUGCGCAGAUAUCAGGAGGAACACCAGUGGCGAAGGCGGUUCUCUGGGCCUUUCCUGACGCUGAGGAGCGAAAGCGUGGGGAGCGAACAGGCUUAGAUACCCUGGUAGUCCACGCUGUAAACGGUGGGUACUAGGUGUGGGGUCCAUUCCACGGGUUCCGUGCCGUAGCUAACGCUUUAAGUACCCCGCCUGGGGAGUACGGCCGCAAGGCUAAAACUCAAAGGAAUUGACGGGGCCCCGCACAAGCGGCGGAGCAUGCGGAUUAAUUCGAUGCAACGCGUAGAACCUUACCUGGGUUUGACAUGGAUCGGGAGCGCUCAGAGAUGGGUGUGCCUCUUUUGGGGUCGGUUCACAGGUGGUGCAUGGCUGUCGUCAGCUCGUGUCGUGAGAUGUUGGGUUAAGUCCCGCAACGAGCGCAACCCUUGUUCACUGUUGCCAGCACGUUAUGGUGGGGACUCAGUGGAGACCGCCGGGGUCAACUCGGAGGAAGGUGGGGAUGACGUCAAGUCAUCAUGCCCCUUAUGUCCAGGGCUUCACGCAUGCUACAAUGGCUGGUACAGAGAGUGGCGAGCCUGUGAGGGUGAGCGAAUCUCGGAAAGCCGGUCUCAGUUCGGAUUGGGGUCUGCAACUCGACCUCAUGAAGUCGGAGUCGCUAGUAAUCGCAGAUCAGCAACGCUGCGGUGAAUACGUUCCCGGGCCUUGU
rnacentral:rRNA from 1 species